rnacentral:rRNA from 1 species
UACGUAGGGGGCAAGCGUUUGUCCGGAGUUACUGGGCGUAAAGCGCACGCAGGCGGUCUCUUAAGUUUGGAGUGACAGUUGGUGGCUUAACUGCCAAAGUGCUUCGAAAACUGAGAGACUUGAGGGCUUCAGAGGGACACGGAAUUCCGGGUGGAGUGGUGAAAUGCGUAGAGAUCCGGAGGAACACCAAAGGCGAAGGCAGUGUCCUGGGGAGUACCUGACGCUCAGGUGCGAAAGCCAGGGGAGGCGAACGGG